GAGAAAAUGGAAUGCCAACUUCAAAUCUCGCAGGCCGAGCUUGUGACCCCGAGAGUUGGGCGAGAGUUGGGGAGUUUCACUUCCGGUUUCCAUGCCGCUGCAUUCAACUCACGCUCUACAUGUUUCAAUAACUACUAUUCAUAGCGACUAGAGCUAGUUUUUACGAUAAUGUGAUUUGCUAUGGCGUAAACGGGAGUCUGGACAUUCUAACUGCAGUUUUUAUGGUGUGAAAACGGAAUCAUUAAAACCCAAAGCGCUUUAUUUGGUGCGUGUGACAGAGUGUAUUACCGAAGUCGAAGAUAACACGGAAUAUAAUUUAGCAAUGGUGUCGGGAAGGAGCUCUGUUGUGUUGUUUUAUGCAGUGCCUCUUCACAGAAGUGCAAGGGUCUUUCUUUUCACAGCUUGCCUAAGGAGUGUCUGAGGUUUCAGACAAAUGGAGAAGUCAGCUGAUCCAUUGCAUCAACAGAUGUGACAACAACUUCAAUCCAGAGAAAGUCAAGGUCUGUUCCAGGUAUUUUGAAGCACUGUUUCAUUAAAUGUAUGUGUACAUUCAGGCUGUAUAAUUGGGGGAUGAAUAUUAUCUCAUGAAAGUUUAUUGAACUCGAUUGAAAUGAAUUAACAUCCCUUUCACCUCCUUAUUACAACUUAAAUUCAACAUUGCUGUUUGCUUACCAAAUGAGGACUUGUGUCUCGGUUUCAUAGCUUUAUUUUUUACAUCAGACAUUUAGCAGUGCACACAUGUAUGGUGAAACUGAUUGUAGUUACAUACAAAUUGAGACUAUCCUUACUUUAAAAUAGAAAUCUAUAAAUAAAGAAAUGUGCAUAAUAAGGGCAGAAUUUGUACAUUUAGCAUGUUAUGUAGAACUAAAAUGGCAGUCUGGAAUAACAGAAUUAGAGCAUUGGAAAAAUGUAUCUGUAUAGGAAAUUUUUUCCUAAAUUUUUUUCAUUUCCAUCAACAUAGGCUGCAUUUGUAGUGAUAGAUGCAAGUCUGCCUUGUGACUUAGCAGCCUGCAAUGUCUGCUUCUAGCUGUGUACUUUUAUCUCCGAGUUGACUCAGUUUUUCCUUGUUAUCACUUCCCCUUCAUCUAUGUUUCAGUUUGCUGACUACAAAAACCACC